rnacentral:rRNA from 1 species
UUAGAGGAAGUAAAAGUCGUAACAAGGUUUCCGUAGGUGAACCUGCGGAAGGAUCAUUACCGAGUGAGGGCCCUCUGGGUCCAACCUCCCACCCGUGUUUAUUUUACCUUGUUGCUUCGGCGGGCCCGCCUUAACUGGCCGCCGGGGGGCUCACGCCCCCGGGCCCGCGCCCGCCGAAGACACCCUCGAACUCUGUCUGAAGAUUGAAGUCUGAGUGAAAAUAUAAAUUAUUUAAAACUUUCAACAACGGAUCUCUUGGUUCCGGCAUCGAUGAAGAACGCAGCGAAAUGCGAUACGUAAUGUGAAUUGCAAAUUCAGUGAAUCAUCGAGUCUUUGAACGCACAUUGCGCCCCCUGGUAUUCCGGGGGGCAUGCCUGUCCGAGCGUCAUUGCUGCCCUCAAGCCCGGCUUGUGUGUUGGGCCCCGUCCUCCGAUUUCCGGGGGACGGGCCCGAAAGGCAGCGGCGGCACCGCGUCCGGUCCUCGAGCGUAUGGGGCUUUGUCACCCGCUCUGUAGGCCCGGCCGGCGCUUGCCGAUCAACCCAAAUUUUUAUCCAGGUUGACCUCGGAUCAGGUAGGGAUACCCGCUGAACUUAAGCAUAUCAAUAAGCGGAGGA